AUUGAACGCUGGCGGCAGGCCUAACACAUGCAAGUCGAGCUAGCGGCGGCCGGGUGAGCAAUGUAUGGGGAUCUGCUCGAGAGAGGGGGAUACCUACUGGAAACGGUGGCUAAUACCGCACACUACCGGAUGACUCCAUAUGGGAUUAGCUAGUAGGCGGGGUAAAGGCCCACCUAGGCGACGACCUCGAGCUGGGAUGAGAGGAGGAGCAGCCACACUGGAACUGAGACACGGGCCAGACUCCUACGGGAGGCAGCAGUGGGGAAGAUUGCACAAUGGGCGAAAGCCUGAUGCAGCCAUGCCGCGUGUAUGAAGAAGGCCUUAGGGUUGUAAAGUACUUUCAGCGGGGAGGCGUUACCCGCAGAAGAAGCACCGGCUAACUCCGUGCCAGCAGCCGCGGUAAUUC
rnacentral:rRNA from 1 species